rnacentral:rRNA from 1 species
UACGUAGGCAGCGAGCGUUGUUCGGAGUUACUGGGCGUAAAGGGUGUGUAGGCGGUUUUCUAAGUUUGGUGUGAAAUCUCCCGGCUCAACCGGGAGGGUGCGCCGAAAACUGGGAGACUAGAGUGCGGGAUGGGAGAGUAGAAUUCCUGGUGUAGCGGUGAAAUGCGUAGAUAUCAGGAGGAAUCCGGGUGGUGUAGACGGCUCUCUGGACCGCCACUGACGCUGAGACACGAAAGCGUGGGUAGCAAACAGG